CAUAAUGAAUUGUAGCAUACAAAGAGUGUGAAAAAUAAGUAUCAAACACUCCAAUUACAUAUGCCUGUAACCGUAUUGAUCUGUGAUAACUACUGAAUAAUAGCGUCAGAGCAGUGGAGAGGAGAGGGAAAGAGUGAGAAUUAAAGUUAGCCCUAAUCAAGAUGGAGAAUCCAGCUAAUGUGCCUUCGAGGGCACCCCUUACCCAAAAAACUAUCUCUCACUAAUAGCCCACCAUGCCCAAUCUUUGUAGGGAGACUGAAAUACCUAAGAAUGUAGCAAUAGUGGUUAUAGCUGAGGUAACUCGAUGUCUCCACACCUAUAAUGCGGUAAUGUCUGACAUCUAAUGAAU